AAAUUGAAGAGUUUGAUCAUGGCUCAGAUUGAACGCUGGCGGCAGGCCUAACACAUGCAAGUCGAGCGGUAGCACAGAGAGCUUGCUCUCGGGUGACGAGCGGCGGACGGGUGAGUAAUGUCUGGGAAACUGCCUGAUGGAGGGGGAUAACUACUGGAAACGGUAGCUAAUACCGCAUAACGUCGCAAGACCAAAGUGGGGGACCUUCGGGCCUCAUGCCAUCAGAUGUGCCCAGAUGGGAUUAGCUAGUAGGUGGGGUAACGGCUCACCUAGGCGACGAUCCCUAGCUGGUCUGAGAGGAUGACCAGCCACACUGGAACUGAGACACGGUCCAGACUCCUACGGGAGGCAGCAGUGGGGAAUAUUGCACAAUGGGCGCAAGCCUGAUGCAGCCAUGCCGCGUGUGUGAAGAAGGCCUUCGGGUUGUAAAGCACUUUCAGCGGGGAGGAAGGCGAUAAGGUUAAUAACCUCAUCGAUUGACGUUACCCGCAGAAGAAGCACCGGCUAACUCCGUGCCAGCAGCCGCGGUAAUACGGAGGGUGCAAGCGUUAAUCGGAAUUACUGGGCGUAAAGCGCACGCAGGCGGUCUGUCAAGUCGGAUGUGAAAUCCCCGGGCUCAACCUGGGAACUGCAUUCGAAACUGGCAGGCUAGAGUCUUGUAGAGGGGGGUAGAAUUCCAGGUGUAGCGGUGAAAUGCGUAGAGAUCUGGAGGAAUACCGGUGGCGAAGGCGGCCCCCUGGACAAAGACUGACGCUCAGGUGCGAAAGCGUGGGGAGCAAACAGGAUUAGAUACCCUGGUAGUCCACGCCGUAAACGAUGUCGAUUUGGAGGUUGUGCCCUUGAGGCGUGGCUUCCGGAGCUAACGCGUUAAAUCGACCGCCUGGGGAGUACGGCCGCAAGGUUAAAACUCAAAUGAAUUGACGGGGGCCCGCACAAGCGGUGGAGCAUGUGGUUUAAUUCGAUGCAACGCGAAGAACCUUACCUGGUCUUGACAUCCACAGAACUU
rnacentral:rRNA from 1 species